AAUCAACGCUGGCGGCGUGCCUAACACAUGCAAGUCGAACGCGAAAGUUCCUUCGGGGAUGAGUAGAGUGGCGUCCGGGUGAGUAACGCGUGGGUAAUCUGCCUUUGGGUGGGGGAUAACUCAGGGAAACUUAGGGCGUAAUACCGCAUAAUGCAGCGGCUCGACAUCGAGACAGUUGUUAAAGCAGCAAUGCGCCUGAAGAGGAGCCUGCGUCUGAUUAGCAGUUGGUAAGGUAAUGGCUUACCAAGGCUACGAUCAGUAGCUGGUCUGAGAGGACGGCCAGCCACAAUGGCACUGAAAUACGGGUCAGACUCCUACGGGAGGCAGCAGUCGGGAAUUUUGGGCAAUGGGCGAAAGCCUGACCCAGCAACGCCGCGUG
rnacentral:rRNA from 1 species